UACGGAGGGUGCGAGCGUUGUCCGGAAUCAUUGGGCGUAAAGGGCGCGUAGGUGGCCCCUCAAGCGUGCGGUGAAAGUCAGGGGCUCAACCCCUGAUCGGCCGUGCGAACUGGGGAGCUUGAGCACUGUAGAGGCAGGCGGAAUUCCGGGUGUAGCGGUGGAAUGCGUAGAGAUCCGGAAGAACACCGGUGGCGAAGGCGGCCUGCUGGGCAGUUUUGCUGACACUGAGGCGCGGCAGCGUGGGGAGCAAACAGG
rnacentral:rRNA from 1 species